AUUGCACAAUGGGCGCAAGCCUGAUGCAGCCAUGCCGCGUGUAUGAAGAAGGCCUUCGGGUUGUAAAGUACUUUCAGUCGUGAGGAAGGUGUUAAGGUUAAUAACCUUAGCAAUUGACGUUAGCGACAGAAGAAGCACCGGCUAACUCCGUGCCAGCAGCCGCGGUAAUACGAAGGGUGCAAGCGUUACUCGGAAUUACUGGGCGUAAAGCGUGCGUAGGUGGUCGUUUAAGUCCGUUGUGAAAGCCCUGGGCUCAACCUGGGAACUGCAGUGGAUACUGGGCGACUAGAAUGUGGUAGAGGGUAGCGGAAUUCCUGGUGUAGCAGUGAAAUGCGUAGAGAUCAGGAGGAACAUCCAUGGCGAAGGCAGCUACCUGGGACCACAUUGACACUGAGGCACGAAAGCGUGGGGAGCAAACAGGGAUUAAGGAUACCCGGU
rnacentral:rRNA from 1 species